UACAGAGGUCCCAAGCGUUGUUCGGAUUCAUUGGGCGUAAAGGGUGCGUAGGCGGCGCGGUAAGUCGGGUGUGAAAUCUCGGGGCUUAACUCCGAAACUGCAUUCGAUACUGCCGUGCUUGAGGACUGGAGAGGAGACUGGAAUUUACGGUGUAGCGGUGAAAUGCGUAGAUAUCGAGAGGAACACCAGUGGCGAAGGCGAGUCCCUGGACAACACCUGACACUGAGGCACGAAAGCUAGGGGAGCAAACAGG
rnacentral:rRNA from 1 species